rnacentral:rRNA from 1 species
UGGGGAAUCUUAGACAAUGGGGGAAACCCUGAUCUAGCCAUGCCGCGUGAGCGAUGACGGCCCUAGGGUUGUAAAGCUCUUUCGCCGGGGACGAUAAUGACGGUACCCGGAGAAGAAGUCCCGGCUAACUUCGUGCCAGCAGCCGCGGUAAUACGAAGGGGACUAGCGUUGUUCGGAAUUACUGGGCGUAAAGCGCGUGUAGGCGGAUCGGUCAGUCAGAGGUGAAAUCCCAGGGCUCAACCCUGGAACUGCCUUUGAUACUGCCGGUCUUGAGUCCGGAAGAGGUGAGUGGAAUUCCGAGUGUAGAGGUGAAAUUCGUAGAUAUUCGGAGGAACACCAGUGGCGAAGGCGGCUCACUGGUCCGGUACUGACGCUGAGACGCGAAAGUGUGGGGAGCAAACAGGAUUAGAUACCCCCGUAGUCC